rnacentral:rRNA from 1 species
AGAGUUUGAUCCUGGCUCAGGAUGAACGCUGGCGGCAUGCCUAAGACAUGCAAGUCGAACGAGAUGGCCCAGUGAAGGUUGAGUGCUUGCACGAGACUGAAUCUGGAUUCCCAUCUAGUGGCAGACGGGUGAGUAACACGUGGGUGACCUACCUUUUCGUUGGGGAUAACAGUUGGAAACGAUUGCUAAUACCGAAUAAAAUGUAAGAGUCAAUUUUACAUUGAAAGGAGCCUUUAAAGCUUCGCGAUUAGAUGGGCCUGCGGCGUAUUAACUAGUUGGUGAGGUAAUGGCUUACCAAGGUGACGAUGCGUAGCCGAACUGAGAGGUUGAUCGGCCACAUUGGGACUGAGACACGGCCCAAACUCCUACGGGAGACAGCAGUUAGGAAUAUUCGUCAAUGGAGGAAACUCUGAACGAGCAAUGCCGCGUGAGUGAUGAAGGUCUUAUAGAUUGUAAAACUCUGUUGUAUGGAAAAAACGACUAGGUUAGGAAAUGAACUUAGUGUGAUGGUACCAUACCAGAAAGCCCCGGCUAACUACGUGCCAGCAGCCGCGGUAAUACGUAGGGGGCGAGCGUUAUCCGGAUUUAUUGGGCGUAAAGCGUGUGUAGGCGGUUUAUUAAGUUUAAGAUUAAAGCCCGGGGCUCAACUCCGGUAAGUCUUAAAAACUGGUAGACUUGAGUACGGUAGAGGCAAACGGAAUUUCUAGUGUAGCGGUGAAAUGCGUAGAUAUUAGAAGGAACACCAGUGGCGAAAGCGGUUUGCUGGGCCGUUACUGACGCUGAGGCACGAAAGCGUGGGGAGCAAAUAGGAUUAGAUACCCUAGUAGUCCACGCCGUAAACGAUGAGUACUAAGUGUUGGGAUUACCCAGUGCUGAAGCUAACGUAUUAAGUACUCCGCCUGAGUAGUACGGUCGCAAGGCUGAAACUCAA